rnacentral:lncRNA from 1 species
AAAUCAGUAAACGGAUAAUGAAAUUUAUCAUAAAUAAUGGCUUUAUGAAUCAACAUUUUUAAUAAAUAAUACAUGUUUAGGAAAAUAGAAUAAUAUCUAAAUUAUUGGUGUAAAUCCGUUUAUAAAUCUGUAUUCUAAACUGAUAUAAGAUACUAUACUUUACAAUAUAUAUCUUUGAAAUUUAUAAAAGUUUCAAAUUAAGUUUUGGGCAAAUCUCCAAAAUAGCACAUUUCUAAGUUUAUAUCACAAAAAUAGCACUCAAAAACUAAAAUGACCAAAAUAGCAUUUUAUAUUUUGAAAAAUUUAAAUUUUUUUAUUUUUCAAAAUUUGAAAUCUUAUCCCCAAAACCUCACUUCUCAACUCUAAACCCUAAAAACUAAACUCUAAAUCCUAAACCCUAAACUCUAAACCCUAAACUCCACCCCUUGAAUGUUAAUUUUGUGACUUUUGGCCUUGAGUACUAGUUUGGGAACAAAAACUUGAUUUAGUGCUAUUUUGGUAUUUUUCUCUUAAGUUUUGCUAUGAUAUCAGUUUGGUUAGAAAAUCCUAAAAAAUAUUUUAUUUUUUAUGUAUAUUGGAAUUAAUUUAUCAUAUGAAUUGGUAGUACAAUGUAAAAUGAUGAGUUGGUAGUUAAAUAUAAAGUUGUUGAUGUUGUGCAUCACAAUGAGUUGGUAUUUUGUAGAAUUCGGUUAAUGUUAUUGUUUGUAGAAUAAUAAUCCGGCUGUAAAACCUUAUAUGUUAGGGCUUAGGGUUUGAUUUUUAACAUUAACUAGAUCUUGACUUGCGCUUUGCAAGCGCAUAAUGAUUUAUGAUGAAAAAAUUCACUAAUAACUUUACAAAUAUUUUAUAAAUUUGUAAGAAUUUUGAGUAUUUAAAAUAUUUUUACAUUUAAAUCAUUGCUUUUAAAUUUGACUCGAAC